rnacentral:rRNA from 1 species
CCCUUAGAUGUUCUGGGCCGCACGCGUGCUACACUGAGUAAAUCAAUGGGUAAGGGAACACGAAAGUGCAACCUAAUCUUCAAAUUUGCUCGUGAUGGGGAUCGACGGUUGCAAUUUUCCGUCGUGAACGAGGAAUACCUUGUAGGCGCGUGUCAUCAUCACGCGCCGAAUACGUCCCUGCCCUUUGUACACACCGCCCGUCGCUCCUACCGAUUGAGUGAUCCGGUGAGGCUCUGGGACCUGGACGGAAAGAGCGUUUCGCUUGUUCUGUUUGGGAAACUUGGUCGAACCUUAUCAUUUAGAGGAAGGAGAAGGCGUAACA